rnacentral:rRNA from 1 species
GACGAACGCUGCGGCGUGCUUCACACCUGCAAGUCGCACGGAAAGGCCCUGCUUUUGUGGGGUGCUCGAGUGGCGAACGGGUGAGUAACACGUGAGUAACCUGCCCUUGACUUUGGGAUAACUUCAGGAAACUGGGGCUAAUACCGGAUAGGAGCUCCUGCUGCAUGGUGGGGGUUGGAAAGUUUCGGCGGUUGGGGAUGGACUCGCGGCUUAUCAGCUUGUUGGUGGGGUAGUGGCUUACCAAGGCUUUGACGGGUAGCCGGCCUGAGAGGGUGACCGGCCACAUUGGGACUGAGAUACGGCCCAGACUCCUACGGGAGGCAGCAGUGGGGAAUAUUGCACAAUGGGCGGAAGCCUGAUGCAGCAACGCCGCGUGCGGGAUGACGGCCUUCGGGUUGUAAACCGCUUUCGCCUGUGACGAAGCGUGAGUGACGGUAAUGGGUAAAGAAGCACCGGCUAACUACGUG